rnacentral:lncRNA from 1 species
GACACAAGCGCUUAACUUCAACUAAGCGUUUAUUGCAAAAUGUCAGAGCAUAUAGGGGGGCAAGAAAAGAAAAAAAGAAAGAGGAACGAAGAACAACCCACCAAAAGCCCACGUGUCGUGCCAUACAAUACUCAUCCAUUAUGAUCAACCACACCAUCCAAAAAACAAAGGCAUUGGCGUCCUCU